UCCGUAGGUGAACCUGCGGAAGGAUCAUUAACGAGUUAGGGUCUUCUAGGCCUGACCUCCCAACCCAUUGUUUACCACACCGUUUGUUGCUUCGGCGAGCCCGUCUUCACGGACCGCCGGGGGACCGUGACAGGUCUCCUGGCCCGCGCUCGUCGGUAGCCCUCAACCUUAAAUUCUUUAAUCAAACAUGUCUUGACUAAGUACAAAUUUUUUAAUUAAAAGCAAAACUUUCAACAACGGAUCUCUUGGUUCUGGCAUCGAUGAAGAACGCAGCGAAAUGCGAUAAGUAAUGCGAAUUGCAGAAUUUCAGUGAGUCAUCGAAUCUUUGAACGCACAUUGCGCCCUUUGGUAUUCCGAAGGGCAUGCCUGUUCGAGCGUCAUUAUCACCCCUCAAGCCCUCUGGCUUGGUGUUGGACGGUUUGGCGGAGAUUACGUCUCUGCCCCUCCCAAAGACAAUGACGGCGGCCUCGUGGGACCCCCGGUACACUGAGUUCUUCACGGGACACGUACUGGACACAAGGGUGCGCGGAGCCCGGUCUAACCUCCCUUUGCGGGAGAAUUUUUCUCAAGGUUGACCUCGGAUCAGGUAGGGAUACCCGCUGAACUUAAGCAUAUCAAUAAGCGGAGGA
rnacentral:rRNA from 1 species